UCAGACACGUCAGAGUUUGAUCCUGGCUCAGGAUGAACGCUAGCUACAGGCUUAACACAUGCAAGUCGAGGGGCAGCAUGAUCGAAGCUUGCUUUGAUUGAUGGCGACCGGCGCACGGGUGAGUAACACGUAUCCAACCUUCCGGUAACUCCGGUAUAGCCUUUCGAAAGAAAGAUUAAUCCCGGAUAGUAUGGUGAUUCCGCAUGGUUUCUCCAUUAAAGGAUUCCGGUUACCGAUGGGGAUGCGUUCCAUUAGGCAGUUGGCGGGGUAACGGCCCACCAAACCUACGAUGGGUAGGGGAACUGAGAGGUUUAUCCCCCACAUUGGUACUGAGACACGGACCAA
rnacentral:rRNA from 1 species